GAUUAUUUUUAGAGUGUCGAACUAUUUUCUGCAAUUUAUUGAAGGUUGGUAGAAAGAAAAUUUAUGUUUUGAAAUUUGAAAAUUUUGGAUUAAUCUUGGCCGUCGGAUCUUUAGGGUUUUGAUCUCAACCAUCGGUUCGGAUAUAAAAAGGAUAAGAGAGGGUUGACUCGGUCAAGCACCCAGACACGGGCGUUGACCCGAGCUCCUGGUCUCUCUAAUCUCUCUCUCUUUCCUCCGUCGUCUCCUCACCGGAGCAGCGCCGUCCAGCCACCGCUGGCGACGAGACUGCCACCAAAGUGAUCCUCUCCUCCUUCUUGACGUAGCUCCGUUCUUGAAUCCCGGAGGCAUCCACUAUCGACGGAGAUUGGAAGAGGAGGACGACGACUGUUCUUCACAAAUUCCGGCGAGUCACAGUGACGAAUCGACGAACCAAGGUCCUAUUCUUGAUCUCCUUCCUCUCCUCUUCUUUUAUGGGUUUGUUUCAUCUUGAAUCGAGCUCCAACUUGACAACCCCAUUUUCUGCCUAAAAAGGGAUUUCCGGCGAGCCAUCGCCAUCGACGCCGACGAGGCUGCUCGGCGCUCCCCCUCUCCCUUCUGAUGUGGCAUCGAUCACCAGGGAGCCAUGACUAGGUUAUAUGGAGACAAAAGGUGUUCUACUGCUGUGUUGGAGGAGACCCGAAUUCCGGCAAGGAAGUUACUGCCGGUGAGGGGAAGCUUAAGACGUCGUUGUUGUUGUGCUGCAGCGAAGUAGGAGGCUACUUGUAGGCUAUAUGGUGGUGGGAGGUCUUUACUUGUCGAUUGAGGGUGAAGGUUGGCUGAGCAGAGGGCAGUGUUGAUGUCCAUGAGCAGUUUUGAUGGCAGGGGUAAGUUUAUGUACUUUCAAAUGUAUCUUGAGUUGGAUGCUUGACUUUGGAGAUGGUUAAUGGCUGAUAUUGUUGUUUGGUGAAUUUCAUGUCGAUAACUUGGUGAUUCGGAAUUUACAAGGAGACUAUGGCAAAUUUUCCGGCGAGUGACGGGAAUCCGGUGAAGUUUUCUGGCGAAGCAGCAGAUCCGGCAGAGAGUCGAGAAGGUAGUUUUUGAGCAGCCUUUCUAAUUUAAGUCGUAGUGCAAUUGAUUUUGAUUAUGGUGAGGUUAUGAUUAACAAGUUCAGUUGUGCCAUUUGAGUGAAUAUUGGAUUAUGUGAUUUGGUCAUUACGUUUAUAAGUGUUGUAAUAAAUAUGGACGGUUUUGUUAAAUGGAGAAUCUGACUUCAAUUAUGGAAAAUUAUUACUGGGUGGCUCUUAAAGAAGUUGGUCUAAUAAAGGAUUUAGGUAGUGGCUUUUUCGAACAAUUCUUGUUUCCAUUACUCAAAUUGUCUUGUUUAGGAGUAAUGAAACAUUACCUAAAGAGGUCCAACUGGGAAAUGUUAAUUAGAAACGGAAGUGUGGUCACAUUACCCUAAUGAGCUUAGUACGUUAGGUGAAUUGUUGAGGAAGGGAUGCUACGAAAUUUGGGUUAAGUAUUAAUUGGCAAUUAUCAGUUUUGAUUAGGGAUCAAAUAUGCGUAAGCUUACUCAAUUGAGUUACUUAUUAAGGUCUCGAUCGUGUUAGUGUGGCACCAAAAGAAGUUAGAUCGAUAAUGGACCGUUGAGGGAAUUGUGGAGCCUUUGACCAUGGAGUCUCGGCUGAUAAUUAAUGCAACCGAAUCACUGUGAGUGGACACUUUAUUUUUAAAGGAAUAUGCAUGCAUGAUUUUAUAAGUUGUCAAUUAUAUUUUCUGAGCUUAAAUUAUGAUUUCAGCUUUUGAAUUGGUUAUGGAAUUUAUUUGAGAUUGACUGAUUGGUUAUGUUUUUGAUAAUGAAUUUAUGGAUUUGAGCUUGGGUAAGUUUUGGUAUUUGAAUUAUGAUAUCCUUUUGAUCUCUGGAUUUGAGAUUUCUUUAAAGAUUUGAGUAUGGUUUAAUUUUUGAAAAAAAUGUUAAUGAGAUGAGUUAUUUAUUUCAUUGAGCAUUUUAACGUGUGGGACACGUCAUUGAAUUUAAUUAUUUUCUUUGCUCUUUGAAUUCUUUGAGUACGGUUGGGAAUCGUACUUAUGCUUUAAUUUUGAGUUUCGGGGAAACUCACAUGGAUUUAUGUUUCUUUAUUUAUGCCAUACUUAUUGGAUCGUUAUUAUUCAUGUUAGCAUGUUGUUCCGCCUUUCGAGGCGAUGUAACUUCCACGUUUUAAGUGGGGUUACUCAAGCCCUUUCCGCCUUCGGGUGAUGUGAUGUAGUCGACGACAUCACGCAAGCCCUACAUCCUCUCUGUUAUCAUAAUAUGAAGGUGUAGGGAGUAUGAGAGUACUAUUGCCUGGGAGGCAACCGAGUCUGGGAGGCUCACUUGUAUGGCUAUAACUGUUUCUUAUUUAUUGUUGUUGACUUGACUAGCGGGGCUAGUCCAUCUUUUUGUUAUUCCUUUUGACGAAAGUCUUUAUGAAUCUUUAUUGUCGUUUUAACUAGCAGGGCUAGUCUCUUGUUUUGGUACCUUCUUCUAUGAAGGUUAUUAUUUAUCUUUGUCAUUAAUUUGACUAGUGGGGCUAGUCCGUUUUCUUGGGAUUUUCUUUAUGAAAGAUUUGUCAACACUUGCAUGCAACGGAUUUAUUGCAUAUUGGAAAGUGGGAAAGUAUUUAAGUUUUAGUUUCUUAUCCUAUGUUUAUUUUCGUCCACUCACUCUAACGUUUUUAAAUUACUUUCCCCUGGGCCCUUUGGUUUUAAAUGCCCAGAUUGCAGGCUCAGUCUAAGUGAGGUCGAGCGUACAUGGAGUCGAGGCAUAGUCAGAGGCUGCUUCCGCUUAUUCUUUAUUCAUUGUUUUUCAUUUAACUCUAGAUAUGCUCUGAUAAUCAGUUAGUGAAUUAAUGUUGGUUAUUGUUGGUUGUGGGUUUAGUUUAGUUGAGUAAUUGUUAUAUUGGGAGAUGUGUUGAACUUGGGUGAGCAGGAAGGCUCCAGGUGUUGAGGAUAGAUGUUUGGUUAUAGAAGUGUUAAGUUAGAUUUUUCAGGUAAGGGUCGUCUAUUUUUAAGGAAGGUUAUGCCGAAUUUUCGGUAAAUUUUCCUUGAAGGUGGACCCCGCAGGAUUUACUUCGGGUUUCAGGGUGAAAUUCGGGGUGGAUCCUGUCAAAAUAUAUCAUAAUUCAUCGGCUUAAAUCAUCUUAGCCGACGAAAUAAGUCAUAAUUCGUCGGCUAAGAUGAGGUUAGCCGACGAAUACCCUAAUAUUUCAUCGGCUAAACCCUAAACCCUAAACCCUAAAAUUUUUAUAUGACUUGUUGGGUCUCAUCGGUUUGAAACUAUUUUCAGUUGAAGGUCCGGGAAAAAUACGUAAUUUAGACGGUCCAAUGUUGUUUUCCGUGCGUUUAGGGGUUUGACUUACGGGAUUGACCGUCCGGAUCGAGCCCUUAACCUUGUCGAAUCAAGUUGAAUUUUUUCCCAUACAUGUAUUUUAUCAUGAUGGUCAGAUCUGACAGUGAGAUUUUGAUUUCUCAAGUUUGAUCAUCACAAUCACAACAUGCCUACUAAUGUUGUAUAACUUGUUUACCAAGUGUUUAAGUAAAUGUUCCAUUUCAAAAAUAAACUAAACUUAGAACCUACAAACGCAAAAAAGUCGUGAAAUAAGAUAUGACCAGAAUGGUGAAAUACGUCUACGGUUGAAAAAUCAAGGUAUUCCAGUAAAGUCUCAGUGCCGAUAAUUGCGGUCAAUGCAAUUUUCCAUUAUUUAUCCCUAUGGGUAGCCCUAUCUUCGGUGAUUAUUUUCCGUAAAAUUUUUAUAUGACUUGUUGGGUCUCAUCGGUUUGAAACUAUUUUCAGCUGAAGGUCCGGGCAAAAUACGUAAUUUAGACGGUCCAAUGACCUUUUCCGUGCGUUUAGGGGUUUGACUUACGGGAUUGACCGUCUGGAUCGAGCCCUUAAUGUUGUCGGAUCAAGUGGAAUUUUUUCCCAUUCAUGUAUUUUAUCAUGAUGGUCAGAUUUCCCUUUCUCAAGUUUGAUCAUCACAAUCACAAUUGGCCGAAUGUAUAAAAGGUACUUUAGCCGACGAAUUUCAACGUUUAGUCGACGAAUUUCAAGGGUUUAGCCGACGAAUUUCAAAUGUUUAGCCGACGAAUUUCAACCUUUAGCCGACGAGUUUCGUCUUAGCCAACGAGAUUUUAUAGCUUUAGCCGACGAAAUAUUUAUUUCGUCGACUAAAGUUGUCGGGUUAUAUCGCGCUGCGCUCGACAGCCUCCCCAAUCUACGAGACUAAACCCUAAACACCACCUCCACCUCCUCGCCUGCCUCGCCGUGACGCCGUCGCUCCAUAGCCUCCACCACCUCCUAGCAAAGCCCAAUCUCCCUCUCCUGGUCGCCCUCUCUCUCUCCUGGUCUCCCUCUCCCUCUCCCUAUCCUCCUGCUGCUCCAGCUGCUCCGUGAUAGGAGCACAAAGUGUGACGUUCUUAAUAUGUUUAUACCCUUUAUUUACCCUUUAUUAACUCAUAUUUAGUUGUUUUAGCUUUAUAUUUGUGUUUAGUGUAGAAUAAUUGCUUAAUUUAGAAAUAUGUAGUUUUUAGUAUUAGAAUACAUAGUAUUUUCGGAUUUGAAUAAUUUGGUGUUGAAAUUGUGCUGAGUGUUGGAAACCCUUGUUUACUCAGGAUUCCUGUCUUGAUCAAGAUUCCAUCUUUCCUCGAAGCCUAGUCCAUGAAGGAGAGGUCCAAACCAAGUCCAAUAUGGAGAAGAAGAUCUAAAUUCGGCAGAAUUUCAAGAAUAUCCAAGCCCUUGAAAAUCCGGAUUAAAUCGGGAGAAUUCCUGUACACGUGUGUCAACUUCAACGGACUCUCCAGGACAGCUCACAAUGAAUCAGAAAACGUGCCAGAUAUGGAUAGAAAGCUACGGGAGUCUAGUUUCCAAAUCAAUUGGAAUCACCUCAAUAUCUGUUUUCUAGAGGGAGUUAUGACGCAAUCAUCAGACGGAGGUCAUUCUGCCGAAAGGGAGAAAAACUAAGAAUCCUAAACCAAUUUGGUUUAGGCUUUGUGGCCGACUUCUCUAGGGUUUUUCCUCUAUAUAAAGCACGACUUCAAGGACAGAAGAGCAUCAUCAACCCGUGCAAAUAACACCAAAGCCUUUGUCGAAACUCCAUCAACCUCCAAACACCACAAUCCGAUCCCACCUUCAGCAUUCGUCCAAAGCACGUAGCCUAGGACUCCGCGCACUCGAAGAAUAGAACAAGUAGGGAUAUUUUGAAAGUGUAUUUCAUCUUCUAUUUUCGGAUUGCUAUGUGUUUGUUCUUGUUUUUGUUUGCUUUAAGUAUUUGCUUAAGUAUGUUUCGAUUCUUGUCUAUGAGAUAGAAGUACUUUUGAGCCAUGUUAUGAAUUAAAGUUUACAAUUUAUAAUCAAUGAUUUGAGGUUUUAUGCCGUGAGUUUUAUGUCUAAAUACUUUAAGAUUUUCGGUGCUAUAUUCCAUUAUCAUGUGUAGUUGAUACAAGUAGUUGAUAUUGCAUGUGUUAAUCAUCCAAAGUUCGACUUUGAUACACGUAGUUGAUAAGUUGCAUUGUCUUUGUUUUUCACCGAUUUUCUACCUAUGUUUGAUUUGGACUUGUGCUUAAACACAUCAAAUUCUUUAUGUGAUACGUAAUUGCAUGAUUAGUUUAUGUGUGUGACCAAUAAGUAGAGCAUGUAGCCGAGCUUGUUGUGUCGCGAUGUUGAAUGAAACCUGUAGUCUAAUUCUAAGUUGGUCUAUGUCAUAGGAACCACGUAGGAACUUAUGUGCAUAUCAAAUUUAGGUUGUAUAUUUGCUCACGGUGUAGACUUAAAUGAGAUUAGAAAUCGUCUUCUUUAUUCUUGCAUGGUUGUUUGGUUGAGUUUGCAUGAAUGUUGGUUGAUCACAUAUAUAUAUGUAUAGAAGUAAUUUAGGAUUUAUUAUUCUUGUCUUUUCCGAAAUCAUAAAACCUGUAAACCUAUGUGCUUAUUUUGACACUUAUAUUAGAUUAGAUGGAUCUACCCUGUAGUUGGAUCCCCGGUUUAGAACGAUCCCUGCUUGCUUUAUACUACGAUUGAUUUGUUGACAGGGUUAAUUGAUGCGUGUGCAAAUACGUCUUAUCACUCCGGCCCUCCCUCCUCCUNNNN
rnacentral:lncRNA from 1 species